GUUUUCUAUAUGGAACUGGUUUUAAUUGUUUUUACAAUUGUCUUGUUUAAUAAUCAUAUAUUUUAUUGUUGUAUCCCACUCUGAGACCGUACGGUGAAGGCUAGGUAAGAAAACUACUGGUACUAACUAACUAAAAUAUGCUUAUUAUAUUGGUUUGCUAACAUUUACAUUAUUUGGAUAGCAUAGGGCAGGGGUGGUCAAAAUUGUUGUCCGACUACAGCUCCCAUCAUUCCUGACCAUUGGCCAUGCUGGUGUGGGACAUUUAAAAACAAGUCCACAGAAAUUGCCACCAGGCCAAGUGUGGUUUUUUCCCAUCUGUUUCUGAGCUCCUAGAAAGUGUAAUAUGGCUGGGGGCAGGUAGCCAGGACUGAAGCAGAGAGGAAAAUCAUGCUUAGAACUUAAGAACAUCACAGGUGCUUUUGGGAUAAAUACCUUUACCACUGCAGGGUUUGUUUUCCAAUACACUCAGGAACUUGGGAAGUUGCCAGAUACGGAGUCAAAUCACUGGACCAUUUUCUACACUUGACUGGCACUGGAUCUCGAGGGUUUCAGGAAGGGUUUUCAGAAACGUAUCAUAAUAACUAUUGAAAGAAAGGACAAAAGUAGGGCGAUUGUUGCUUGUUACCAUAAUGAUGUGUUGAUCAAAUACCACAAACAUUCAGGAAACGAGGAUAGGCUUGCUAUUAACGUUCUGUUCCUAUAGGAACAAAUAGACAGGGGAAAACAGGAAGCUAGACUAAUGUAGCUGCUUCAGUGCUAAAACACCGUGGGGUUUUGUUUUCUCUGCACCAGAUCUGACAGAGGGAGGGAGGGAGAGAGAGAGAGAAAGAAGGAGGGGUUUAUGUUCCCUUUGGGAAAGAGGCACAGCGGAAACCAUGGUGUUUUCAGGAUAUAUGGUUUAUUUACACCUAUAUACAACCUGAGCCUGCGAUGGACGGGUUCACAGCAUCAACAUCCCAAGAGGGUCUUGCUUCUCCCAUCGCCACAGCCUUGGAUUCCAGCAGAGAUCAACCAUGUUCACUCUCUGCUUUUCCAUUCAGCUUUUAACUCACAUAGCUCAACUCUAACCUUUUGACCAAAACCACUCUUUUGUUUCCCUUCAUGGCCCAUCACCCAGGCUGGCCUGGCUAUUCCAGCAAUUGAAUCUGUGCUGGAUCCAAGAAUUAGAAGGGGACCCAGGCAUUCAGCCCCCCUACCCCUCAUAACAGUAUCCUUUUUCAGCUUUCAGACAGAGGUGCUGUAAAGCUGCUAGGGUGCAAUUAUUGAAAUAACUACAAUGCACACAAAAUAGUCAAAGGUUCCUCGUUCCUAUCAAUGCCAUUCUUCCUAAUCCAAAGUCUUGAUCUCAUUUAUUUCAUGCUGUUUUGAACAUCGUGUUAAGGGGGCUGCCACAGCAGACCAGGUCUCAGGAAUUAAGCCUCCUGCCGCUAUAAUUACAGAACUGCAAUUCUCCCUAUCCUUGCCUAGUUUAGCAACGUAACUUACAAGUGAGAGAACAGAUGCCUGAGCACUCGCUGAGCAGGAGGCUGUGGAGUUGUCAUGAUUCUGUUUCCUCCCUGCUGUUUCUGUGCAUAUGAAUUAAGGGGAAGCAGAAUGAGACAGAGGGAGGCUCACCAUAUUGAGGUUUCAUAACCAACUGCUCAGCCAGACCUGACUUGGGAAGGUCUCUGCAACUCUCACUCUCAUGUCUAAAACCUUGACACCCACAGGUAAAGGAUUGCCAUAGCUGACAGAAGCAAGCCAGCAGUAAAUCACACUGAGCAAGUUGGAAUUAACUAUUUAUUAGCAAAAACAAGAUCUGCACAGGAGUGUUGGGCCUAAUGAGCAUGUCUUCCCUGGCAUGUCUUUCCCCCCUGAAGCAGAUGCUGAGACUGUGCCUCCCCACAGCUGCCUAAAUCCUCUCCUCUCCAGGGUUUCUCUCAAUCAAUCUGAGACUGUGCCUUCCAUGAAGCUAACUUCUCCACCCUUUUCAUGCCUCUCCUGGUUCUGGGAGACUGCGGGAAGGGGAGCUUGCCAUAGCAGGAGGGGGAGACACCUGUGGAACCUAUCAAAGUCCUGCAUACCUCAGCCUCCUCUCCAGCCGACUCUGCAGUCAGGUGAGUAACACAGAGUCCAACCAGAGCCCAAAGACCUCAUGGAGCCACUCAGAGGCCUGCAAGCCCUCAGAGUAGGACAGAGAGGUUCACAUUUGUUGUGAGGACAUCCAGCAACAUUUGUUGUGUGGACAUCCAGUGGCGAAGCCAUAAUAAUAAUAAUAAUAAUAAUAAUAAUAAUAAUUGUACUGCCUUUUUCCCUGUCAAGGACUCAAGGCACCUUACAGAUAAAAGAAGAACAAUGGUGCCUUCACACCAAGUUUUGUCCGGCAUUUCCUGGGGGAUUUCCUGCUUUCUGUCUUUUGCAACUGUCUCUUUAAAUUCCUCUCUUCCAGAUCCCACUCUUCCAGCUUCAGUGGGACCCACAAGGGCCUGGACACUUGGUCUGUCUGUCAUGGUGCUCAGGCCAAGCAUCCCCAUGGGGUGCUUCAUGGGGAGAGCUGUGGGGACCUCGAUUCCAAACCAACAGAGCACUUGGAUCAGUUUGAGCACAGCCUGGCGGGCCCAUUAGCUCCACCCCUUGCCUAUUUUGCUUAUUAAGAAGAAGAAGAAGAAGAAGAAGAAGAAGAAGAAGAAGAAGAAGAAGAGACUGCCUGGCAGGGCCAUCUCAUGUGAUAUCAGUGCAAUGUGUGGGAUGUAAUCCACUGAGAGCAAUCAAGUACAACAUUCCUUGUAUUGCUAGAGAAGACAUGCGGGGGAAUGUUUGAUCCAGUCAAUUGAAAACUUUCUGAUUCCUCCUGGCUAGAGCAUCCUUCCUUUGCAUGUGACUAGAGGUGGGUGUGACUUUACCUGUCCAGGUAACAAAAAGACAAGUCACACAGCACCCUCUCUCUUUUUCACUUCCUUCUUUGUUCGACCAGCUUCUCAGCUAGGAAUGCC